CUGCCCUCAAGCACGGCUUGUGUGUUGGGCUUCGCCCCCCGGGAGCCGGGGGGCGGGCCCGAAAGGCAGCGGCGGCACCGCGUCCGGUCCUCGAGCGUAUGGGGCUUUGUCACCCGCUCUGUAGGCCCGGCCGGCGCCCGCCGGCGACCCCCAAUCAAUCUAUCCA
rnacentral:misc_RNA from 1 species